UACGGAGGAUGCAAGCGUUAUCCGGAUUCAUUGGGUUUAAAGGGUGCGUAGGCGGCUCUUUAAGUCAGUGGUGAAAUCUUGCCGCUUAACGGUAAAAUUGCCAUUGAUACUGAAGAGCUUGAGUACAGUUGAGGUAAGCGGAAUGUGUAGUGUAGCGGUGAAAUGCUUAGAUAUUACACAGAACACCAAUUGCGAAGGCAGCUUACUAAACUGAUACUGACGCUGAUGCACGAAAGCGUGGGGAGCGAACAGG
rnacentral:rRNA from 1 species